ACCCUUUACCAGACACACUCACACGCAAGAUGGAGAUGGAUGGUGAGGAAAAGCGUUCACUUGUCCUUCCCUCUAGGAGCUUCCACAAGGCUGGAUAUCGGAUAGAUACUCGCCCAAAAGGCCAGCAGCAAUGGAUCACGAGGCAAAGAGCAUCGCAGCGAGUACAAUGAUGGAGAGCACGAGAGGGGCGGAGUCAGUGACACAUUGCUAUGACAACAUAUGAUGGAGGAGUUACAAGGUGACACUGUGGAGUUUGCGUAUAACCCAUUGGACGUCUUGCACUGCAGAUAAAGGAACACAAUUAAGAAAUAGUAUGGACAGUAUAUUGCAAGCUAGAACCAACUUUUAAUGGCCAACUCGCUGUUGCACGGGCUACUAAUCCCUGCUGCUGGAGUGGACAGUGGAGGACCCAGGAACUAGUACACAGUUUACCAUCGCCUCUCUUACUACAUGA